rfam:Brassica oleracea var. oleracea cultivar TO1000 chromosome C3, whole genome shotgun sequence
AGGACCUCGACAGGGUCGACAUGAGAACACAUGUGCAAUCAAAGGCUGUAAUGACGCCACGUCAUUGUAACAUAUAUCUCUCUUUUCAUGUGUUCUCAGGUCACCCCUGCUGAGCUCUC